rnacentral:tRNA from 2 species
GGGGGGUUCCCGAGCGGCCAAAGGGAGCAGACUGUAAAUCUGCCGUCAUCGACUUCGAAGGUUCGAAUCCUUCCCCCACCACCA